rnacentral:rRNA from 1 species
UACGUAGGGUGCGAGCGUUGUCCGGAUUUAUUGGGCGUAAAGGGCUCGUAGGCGGCGUGUCGCGUCGGGAGUGAAAGACCGGGGCUUAACCCCGGUUCUGCUUCCGGUACGGGCAUGCUGGAGUGUGGCAGGGGAGACUGGAAGUUCCUGGUGGUAGCGGUGGGAAUGCGCAGAUAUCAGGAGGAACACCGGUGGCGAAGGCGGGUCUCUGGGCCAUUACUGACGCUGAGGAGCGAAAGCGUGGGGAGCGAACAGG